CAGUAGCCGCGGUAAUGCGUAGGUGGCAAGCGUUGUCCGGAAUUAUUGGGCGUAAAGGGCUCGCAGGCGGUUUCUUAAGUCUGAUGUGAAAGCCCCCGGCUCAACCGGGGAGGGUCAUUGGAAACUGGGAAACUUGAGUGCAGAAGAGGAGAGUGGAAUUCCACGUGUAGCGGUGAAAUGCGUAGAGAUGUGGAGGAACACCAGUGGCGAAGGCGACUCUCUGGUCUGUAACGGACGCUGAGGAGCGAAAGCGUGGGGAGCGAACAGGAUUAGAUACCCCCGUAGUCCCUGUCUCUUAUAC
rnacentral:rRNA from 1 species